GUCAGGCAAGAUGAUCGCACGCACGCCCCUUCUCUGGCUGCUGGUUCUCUGGAUUCAGGACUCCUCUGGGCAAAUUGUGAUGACUCAGUCCCCGGAAUCUCUGGCAGUGCCAGUGGGAGGGAGAGUCUCUAUCAACUGCAAAGCCAGUACGAGCAUUAGCAAUAACUUAAACUGGUACCAACAGAAACCUGGACAAGCUCCCAAACUUCUCAUCUACGGCGCUAGCAACCUCCAGUCGGGGGUCCCAGCUCGGUUCAGCGGCAGUGGGUCUGGCACUGAUUACACAUUCACAAUCAGCAGCGUAGAAGCAGAAGAUGCUGGAGAUUAUUACUGUCAGCAAGGUUAUAGCUCACCUCGCACAGUGAUACAGACCAGUACAAAAACCUCUCUGCAGCACACGUUUGGGCAGAUUGUCAUGACUCAGACUCCAGAAUCUCUCGCAGUGUCUGUGGGAGAGACUGUCACUAUCAAAUGCAAAGCCAGCACAAGCAUUAGCAACAACGUCGCUUGGUACCAACAGAAAUCUGGACAGGCUCCCAAGCUUCUUAUCUAUUACGCCAGCAACCGUCCCACAGGCAUCCCAGACCGGUUCAGUGGCAGUGGAUCGGGCACUGAUUUCACAUUCACAAUCAGCAGGGUUGAAGCUGAUGAUGCUGGAGAUUAUUACUGUCAGAAGCAUUACAGUACCCCUCUCACACAGUGA